GCUAGUUGUGCGGGUUUAGACCCGCAGCGGAAAGCUCAGUAACACGUGGCCAAACUACCCUGUGGAUGGGAACAAUCUCGGGAAACUGAGGCUAAUUCCCAAUAACGCUCCACCCCUGGAACGGGCGGAGCUGGAAACGCUACGGCGCCACAGGAUGUGGCUGCGGUCGAUUAGGUAGACGGUGGGGUAACGGCCCACCGUGCCAAUAAUCGGUACGGGUUGUGAGAGCAAGAGCCCGGAGACGGAAUCUGAGACAAGAUUCCGGGCCCUACGGGGCGCAGCAGGCGCGAAACCUUUACACUGUACGCAAGUGCGAUAAGGGGACUCCGAGUGUGAAGGCAUAGAGCCUUCACUUUUGUACACCGUAAGGUGGUGUACGAAUAAGGGCUGGGCAAGACCGGUGCCAGCCGCCGCGGUAAUACCGGCAGCCCGAGUGAUGGCCGAUAUUAUUGGGCCUAAAGCGUCCGUAGCUGGCCGGACAAGUCCGUUGGGAAAUCUGUUCGCUUAACGAGCAGGCGUCCAGCGGAAACUGUUCGGCUUGGGACCGGAAGACCUGAGGGGUACGUCCGGGGUAGGAGUGAAAUCCUGUAAUCCUGGACGGACCACCGGUGGCGAAAGCGCCUCAGGAGGACGGAUCCGACAGUGAGGGACGAAAGCUAGGGUCUCGAACCGGAUUAGAUACCCGGGUAGUCCUAGCUGUAAACGAUGCCCGCUAGGUGUGGCGCAGGCUACGAGCCUGCGCUGUGCCGUAGGGAAGCCGAGAAGCGGGCCGCCUGGGAAGUACGUCUGCAAGGAUGAAACUUAAAGGAAUUGGCGGGGGAGCACUACAACCGGAGGAGCCUGCGGUUUAAUUGGACUCAACGCCGGACAUCUCACCAGCUCCGACAGUAGUAAUGACGGUCA
rnacentral:rRNA from 1 species